UACGAAGGGGGCGAGCGUUGUUCGGAUUUACUGGGCGUAAAGGGCGCGUAGGCGGCGCCGCAAGUCGCGUGUGAAAGCCCCGGGCUCAACCUGGGAAUUGCGCUCGAGACUGCGGUGCUGGAGUUCGGGAGAGGAGCGUGGAAUUCCCAGUGUAGAGGUGAAAUUCGUAGAUAUUGGGAAGGAACACCGGUGGCGAAGGCGGCGCUCUGGACCGAGACUGACGCUGAGGCGCGGACAGCGUGGGGAUCAAACAGG
rnacentral:rRNA from 1 species